UACGUAGGGGGCAAGCGUUGUCCGGAUUUAUUGGGCGUAAAGAGCGUGUAGGCGCCAGACAGGUCCGUUGUGAAAACUCGAGGCUCAACCUCGAGAUGUCGAUGGAAACCGUCUGGCUAGAGUCCGGAAGAGGAGUGUGGAAUUCCUGGUGUAGCGGUGAAAUGCGCAGAUAUCAGGAAGAACACCUAUGGCGAAGGCAGCUCUCUGGGACGGUACUGACGCUGAGACGCGAAAGCGUGGGGAGCGAACAGG
rnacentral:rRNA from 1 species